UACGUAGGGUGCGAGCGUUGUCCGGAAUUAUUGGGCGUAAAGAGCUCGUAGGCGGUUCGUCGCGUCGAAUGUGAAAACCCGGGGCUCAACUCCGGGCUUGCAUUCGAUACGGGCGGACUAGAGUUCGGUAGGGGAGACUGGAAUUCCUGGUGUAGCGGUGAAAUGCGCAGAUAUCAGGAGGAACACCGGUGGCGAAGGCGGGUCUCUGGAACGCAACUGACGCUGAGACGCGAAAGCGUGGGGAGCAAACAGG
rnacentral:rRNA from 1 species